GUAGUAAUAAAUGAAUAUAAAAUGCAGUUAAAAAUGUGAUAGUAGUGAAAGCACAAAAAUAAAAUAAAGUAACAUAAAAAUAAUGUCAUAAAUAUAUAUAUAUAUAUAUAUACAUAUUACGCUCAUGUAAGUUUCCACUUAUAUAAUGCUUUUCCAAAAUAUAUAUAUUAAACACUUAGCAGCGCCAUUACUAUUAUUAUUGUUAUUGAUAUGCUACAUUCAUCAAAUACAUUUAACAUACUAUUCAGAAAACAAAACCAUUAUUAUAAGCUUUAAAACGUUUAAACAAAAAAUACCUUUCAUAGUUGCAUCAAAAAUUAAAAAAAAUGUAACGUGGAAUGAAAUAAAAAAAAAAAAAAAUAAUAUUUUUUUCUUUUUAAAUAAACACUAUUUUUCCAAAACUAUUACUAAUGGUACUAAUAGUAAUAAUACCUACCAGUGUUUAAAAAGGAAUAGCACAGUUUGUUAUGAUAACGAUGGGGGUAAAAAAAAAAAAUAUAUUUUUUCGUUGAAUAGUCAAAAAUGUAGUGGAUAUCGAAAUAAAAGAGAAGGUAAAGAAGAGACUGUUCGUAAAAUUAAAAGAAUUUUAAAAGUAACAAAAUUAUUAAUUCAAUUAAAUAGUUUUAAAUUAACACCUAACCUAAGAGUAGAUUUAUUAAUAAAUAUGCCCAGACCGCAUGUACGUAUGCAUAUGGUUAAAAAUACUUUAAUGAAAUUAGCAGUAAAAAAUACUCCAUUUGAAGCUAUUAGUCCAUAUUUAAAACAAAGUAAUGUAUAUUUAUUUAUUAUGAAUGAAAAUUAUAUAUCCUUCUGUCUUUAUAAAAAUAAAAUGUUCAGCUCAUUAUAUAAAGAAUAUAAAAUUAAUAAUUUCAUAAAAGUUGCUAUUUAUGAAAAUACAAUUUUAAAUAAAAAAGAAACAGAAGAUCUCAUAAAUUUAAAAACAUACAAUUAUUAUUUUGGACAUGUCGUAAAUAAAAUUAAUAACCUAAUAACAAGUAUACCCAAUUCUAUUAUACAAAUACCAUCUGCUAUAGCUAGGGGAAUAUAUUUGCAUACUCAAAAGUGAAGCAACAAAUGGAGCACUAAGAAUUGGAUAUGUGCUUACGCCCAUGUAUGUAUAUGUGCUUACGUCCAUGUAUGUAUAUGUGCUUACGUCCAUGUAUGUAUAUGUGCACAUGUACAUGAUUUAUUCUCAUCAUUAAAUGUGCCUAGUCUAUAUAAACGUG
rnacentral:lncRNA from 1 species